CAUGCAAGUCGAACGGUGUCUUCGGACAUAGUGGCGCACGGGUGCGUAACACGUAUGCAACCUACCUUACAUUGGGGGAUAGCCUUUCGAAAGGGAGAUUAAUACCGCAUAAGACAGUAGCUGGGCAUCCAGCAGCUGUUAAAGAUUUAUCGAUGUAAGCUGGGCAUGCGUCCAAUUAGCUAGUUGGUGAGGUAACGGCUCACCAAGGCUAUGAUUGGUAGGGGAACUGAGAGGUCAAUCCCCCACACUGGCACUGAGAUACGGGCCAGACUCCUACGGGAGGCAGCAGUAGGGAAUAUUGGGCAAUGGACGCAAGUCUGACCCAGCCAUGCCGCGUGCAGGAUGAAGGCGUUAUGCGUUGUAAACUGCUUUUAUACAGGAAGAAACGACUCUUGCGAGAGGCAUUGACGGUACUGUAUGAAUAAGCACCGGCUAACUCCGUGCCAGCAGCCGCGGUAAUACGGAGGGUGCAAGCGUUGUCCGGAUUUAUUGGGUUUAAAGGGUGCGCAGGUGGUUUAUUAAGUCAGUGGUGAAAGACGGUCGCUCAACGAUUGCAGUGCCAUUGAAACUGGUAGACUUGAGUAAAGUAGAGGUGGGCGGAAUUGAUAGNGUAGCGGUGAAAUGCAUAGAUAUUAUCAAGAACUCCAAUUGCGUAGGCAGCUCACUUGGCUUUUACUGACACUCAUGCACGAAAGUGUGGGUAUCAAACAGGAUUAGAUACCCUGGUAGUCCACACUGUAAACGAUGAUAACUAGGU
rnacentral:rRNA from 1 species